rnacentral:rRNA from 1 species
AUUGAACGCUGGCGGCAUGCCUUACACAUGCAAGUCGAACGGCAGCACGGGUGCUUGCACCUGGUGGCGAGUGGCGAACGGGUGAGUAAUACAUCGGAACGUACCUUAUCGUGGGGGAUAACGCAGCGAAAGUUGCGCUAAUACCGCAUACGCCCUGAGGGGGAAAGCGGGGGACCGUAAGGCCUCGCGCGAUUAGAGCGGCCGAUGUCUGAUUAGCUUGUUGGUGAGGUAAAAGGUCACCAAGGCGAUGAUCAGUAGCUGGUCUGAGAGGACGAGCAGCCACACUGGGACUGAGACACGGCCCAGACUCCUACGGGAGGCAGCAGUGGGGAAUUUUGGACAGUGGGGGCAACCCUGAUCCAGCAAUGCCGCGUGAGUGAAGAAGGCCUUCGGGUUGUAAAGCUCUUUUGUCAGGGAAGAAACAGCAGCUCUAACACAGUCUGCGAAUGACGGUACCUGAAGAAUAAGCACCGGCUAACUACGUGCCAGCCGCCGCGGUAA